rnacentral:rRNA from 1 species
CAGUAGCCGCGGGAAUACGUAGGUGGCAAGCGUUGUCCGGAAUUAUUGGGCGUAAAGCGCGCGCAGGCGGAUUGGUCAGUCUGUCUUAAAAGUUCGGGGCUUAACCCCGUGAUGGGAUGGAAACUGCCAAUCUAGAGUAUCGGAGAGGAAAGUGGAAUUCCUAGUGUAGCGGUGAAAUGCGUAGAUAUUAGGAAGAACACCAGUGGCGAAGGCGACUUUCCGGACGAAAACUGACGCUGAGGCGCGAAAGCCAGGGGAGCGAACGGGAUUAGAUACCCCAGUAGUCCCUGUCUCUUAUACA